UUUUUUUUCACCAGGUAAUUUUCUUUUUAUUAUCGUAGAUUUCUCUACAGAUAUUUUAUAAUCAGGGCAUGGUAAUCCCCUGUGGAGGUGUAAAUAUGGGCGUAUAUUUAAUAUGUCUAUGCCCACUAGGACUUCACUCCAUGAAAUUCUGAUUCAGUUUGGCCUGCCUUGGGAUCUAUAAAUUCAAAAUGAUCCAAAGGUGAUUCUAAAGCAAGUACUUAAUUAAGCUAUAAUGUGGCUUUCACAGACUUUUUAAAUAUAAGAAUAAGGUUAGCUUUUCCCUAGCAUUGGCAGCCAUAUCCAUAGAGAGAACAUGCUACCAAUUUCCCAGAAAUGUUGUUAUCCGAUCUUAAGUGUGUUUGGAUACAGUGAAAAAUAAGAAUGUGUGAGAGAAAGGCUAGGCCAUCUUGCUUUACGUGGGCCCUAGCGCCAAAUUCACCUGUGUGGAACUAGAGCUUCUUUUGUGUUCUUUUGUCUUACCUUUAUUCCUCAUGAAAUUUGCUGAAAGGCGAUAUCCUUGAAUCACUAGCAUUUAGGAAUCCCUGUUAGAGUUUGACAGCCUUCAGUGGUAGCUCAGUGUGAAGUAGCAAGAGUAUUUUUAUUGUAUGUUGUGUUUUCUUGGACUUUGACAUUUUUCAAUUUUCUUGGUAUACACUACUCUUUAAAAUUAGUUUAACAUCCAAUUCAGAGGGCUGUUGUUGCAGAAAAUGUGGUUAUGAAAGAGCAAAGCUUUUUGUAAUCUGGAAAGUGAUACACAAAAGUUGCAUCUAAUUAAAAAUCACCAUCAUGAAUUUAAUGAUCCAAAGGAUGUGAUCUUUGAAGCACAUUUUACUACGUGUAGUUAUUUAAACCCCACCUUUUGUAAAAUGUUAAGACAGUUUUGUUUUUUUAAACUUACUAAUCUUUUUAUUCACAGAUACCACAUGAAAUUUUGCUUUUGUUUCUGGCAACAAUGAACCGCAUUGAAGAAAAUUAAUUGAACCUUGAAAUUUUCAAAAUGCUUGUAGAGCAAAGAGACCAAGACCUGUAGCUGGCUAAGUAUCCCCUGGAGAGAAGACAGCAUGCUAUCCAGGAUGCUGGAGUUCACAAGAAAGCUCUUCAGCUUGUCACUCUCGGACCGACCAUGACCACCAUCUAGCGCCCCCUCUCCCCUCUCCAGGAAGCAAGAAAGAGUGAAAAAUUGAAUGGCAUGUCCAGGGAUUGGGGAAAAUAUUCGGAAGAACUGGAAAGAGGAGAAAAUAUCAUGUGGUAUCUAUAACAAGAGGCUACACUCCUGCUCCUGAAAGCGUGAUUCAAGAACUAGGUAUGUCCGCAAGUACCAUGAACCAGUUAGAGCCGCCCACCCCGGAGCCAGGAUCGACUUUUAACAACGUACCCUGGAAGACAGGACGCACGUUGAUGUUUGUGAUGAGAUUUUGGGGAGCCUGUUUUUUGCAUUAAAAUCAAUAAAAUAUACGCUCAGAUAGUAUCAAAAUUACUUAGGAAAUUAUUCUUUGAAAUUUGAAUUUCACAUUUUAAACUAUGGGAAAAUGCUAGAAAUCUUACCAAAUAUUAGCAAUGCUUGUUCUGUCUCAAUUUUCUUCUUAAGGCAUGUUUAAGUACCAAGGUAUUUAUGAAGUAUGCAAGCAGUCAAAGAUUCCCAUUAAGUGUUUUAUUUUAAUGCAUUGAAAUGAAAUGAUGGGCUUGUUUUUAAAUUGAAAAUGGUACUCCUUUCCGGUUUUUGUUGUAACUGGAUGCAGCAUUUUUCUUUUACAACAUUAUUUUUUAAAAAUGUGUGAAUAUAAAGCAUUGAGAUUGCUUUAAAAACUCUACUAACAGGCGCCUGGGUGGCUCAGUCGUUAAGCAUCUGUCUGCCUUCUG